UUCGGGUGAGGCAAGCGUUGUUCGGAAUCACUGGGCUUAAAGCGCAUGUAGGCGGCUCGGUAAGUACCUUGUGAAAUCCCUUCUCUCAAUGAAGGAACCGCUUGGUAUACUGCCGGGCUGGAGGCAGGUAGGGGUCACUGGAACUCUAGGUGGAGCGGUGAAAUGCGUAGAUAUCUAGAGGAACGCCCGUGGCGAAAGCGGGUGACUGGGCCUGUCCUGACGCUGAGAUGCGAAAGCGUGGGUAGCAAACGGG
rnacentral:rRNA from 1 species